rnacentral:rRNA from 1 species
UACAGAGGGUGCGAGCGUUAAUCGGAAUUACUGGGCGUAAAGCGCGCGUAGGCGGCUUUUCACGUCGAUUGUGAAAUCCCCGGGCUCAACCUGGGAACUGCAGUCGAGACUGUCUAGCUAGAGUAUGGGAGAGGGAAGUGGAAUUUCAGGUGUAGCGGUGAAAUGCGUAGAUAUCUGAAGGAACAUCAGUGGCGAAAGCGACUUCCUGGACCAAUACUGACGCUCAUGUGCGAAAGCGUGGGGAGCAAACAGG